rnacentral:lncRNA from 1 species
UGGAGAUAAGAAGAAUGAAACACUGCCAAUGUAAUUCCAGGUCUCUAAAAAGUUCUGAAGAGUUUUAGGAGAAAGAGACAACCCCAAAUCACUUUGUUAAGGUGGUUAUCUUCUCUUACUACAAGCAACAUAGGCUUUCUUCAGUUGUAAAGUACAAUAAGAAAAAUCUGACAUUCUUUCUUCUGCAAAAUGAGUUGAAGGUGUUAGAGUUUGAAGUCUCCUUCCCAAAGUUGGAACCUAACUGGGAGUGGUGGUACCGCACCUGCUGAGAAGGUAAUGUCAACAUUGGAUUCUGAGGAUGGGGAAACUUCUUCCUCCUGCCCAGACUUUCUCCAGUAUAAGAAGCAAGCAGAGCAAAAUCUUCUGUAAACAAUGGCUUUCACUGUGUGUCCGAUGACUUUGGCAGGACUUGGCUAUAUUCAUUAAAUACCAACAACUUUCUUAUUUAACUAUUUGUUUUCUCUUCAUUGGCCCUCUCCCAUUCCUCAUUAUCAGUUAAGAUUGAUGUUUGCACACAGGUAUGAUUAUGUUACUCUUACCACUCCCGAAAAUAAAAAAGUAGAAACUAUCUAUAUGCA